GUCCUCGCCGCCAAAGUCGCAGUUGUCGCAGCGCGCGCGAUUCAGAGCUCGUUGAGCAGGCAAGUAAUUCACACGUCUUCUGCAUAUUGCCAACGCAAAACCGUUGGUUCUGUUAGCUCCAGUAAAAACUUUCAAGUGGAACAAGUGAGUGCAACAAAAAAAAGUUGAUUGGCUGACUGUAUUACCAUAUAUCGGAGAACUGGUGAUCAAGAAUUUCAGAGUGCAAUCUAUAGAACGAGUUGAACUGCUGCUGCUGCUGGUGGAGCAGUUCUUGUUUGUCGCAUAACAGACAGAUUAACAGUGCGCGGAGGUUGUUAUUGAGUGGCGCCAGUUCAGAAGGGCGUUCAGAAAAUUCCUGUGAGUAGUUACAACAUUCGGUGGACUUCGAUGACUUGUGUAUUGAGAGGUGAUUUUCUGGAGAAAGUGCAACAACCCAAACAAACGUCCAUGAUGGAUGCGUUGAUGCGAAGAAACAGUUUCAACCUUUCGUUUAGCAAGCUGUGGCAUCCCGGCGCGGAGAAGACCCGCUCAAAAAGUGGCUCCUUUGGGAGCUCGGUGGCCAUCCAGAAGCUGCGCGAGUCCAAAUGGUUCGACCGGGGCGAGGAGCGCAUCUUCUGUGCGGUGAUCGAAGCCGGUUUCAUCGUCGAACUGCGUCAUCCAGAAACCGGCGAAAGCUGGUUCGGCGUAACGGCGUUCGAGCUGAAGAAAUUAACCAAACCAACGGCCGAAAACAUCAAGAUCUACUCGGUGAAACUGUCCGACAGCCACAAGCGGUUGAAGGUCUACAACAGUUCCCUGGACCAGCUGUGGCAGCAGGGUUACCAAAUCCGUAUCAACAACCUCUGUGACAAAGCCAAGAAGGCACACAACGAGAAGGACAUCAUGGCUCAGAUCAAGUACGCCACCAAAACCAAGAUGGCCUUCCACAACAGUCAGCACUUUGCCGAAUUCUGCCGGUACGGUGACCGACCGCAGGACAACCGGAAACGACAAGUAAGUGUACUGUUGAAACGGCUCGAAGAUGCACUGAAUGGAUCGCAGACGUACUUUUGAGAACCGCGCACAGGCUCCGAACUCGCGGAAACACACACACAGACAAAUUGAGAGAUCUCUGAAUGCGCCAAGUGGGGUGGAACAAACAUGGGAGCCACCAUCAUCUACUUUGCCAUGCAGUCGCAGAAGCAGAAGGCCAAUUCCCGAUGAGCCGGAAGCUGCAUUUGCAUGUUGUGAUGGGAAAGCACGCGCGCGAGAGAGAAAUAGAGAGUACUAGUCCUCGUUUGCUGGAGGCCAAGCCUCCCCGAAUCGAGCCCUUAAAGAAAAGACGUGACUGUAUUAUAUUUUGAGUAUAAAAAUAGUUUUUUUUUUAUGAGAUUAAGUCAUUCUACUGAUCGUACCGGUUGGGUACACUAAGUGUAAACUGUUAUAAAAUAUAUUGCUAGAGAUAAGAAUAGCACAAUAUGCGUCGUUAGAUUAACUGUACGUUGAUGUUAGAUAUAGGAGUCCAUUUCUUGGAGUAAACAUUGUAAAUAUUUUUGUAAAAUAUUGGAUCCUAAAUUUUUAUGGGAAAUACACGCACCAUCAAUAUACAUCUGUCAUCAGGAAAUCACCUCGUCGUCCGGUACGUGAUCGGAUUCGACAGCUUUCGGGAUGUGGAUGGAUGCUUUGCGGCACUCUGUCAAGUCCGCCGUAGACAGUAAAAUGUGAAAUAUUUUCGCUAAUUUUAGACGACAGCUUUCUGUGCCAAAUUUUUUUACGUACGUAAGAAAAGAUCUAGCCAGUAAGAUGAAUCCAACACACUAAUAAAGAAGACAUGAAUUAUUACCAACAAACAGCCCA